GCGCCCGUCGCGCAACAGCGAUGGUUCGCGGCAGCGGGCACCGGCGGCGCGGGGCGGUUACGCCCAGAGCUGCGGCUCAGCCGCUGGAAAGACUGCAUUUAUAGUGACAAAAUCCACUUAGCUUCAAGGUACUGGGAGAACAAGACCCCCACAGCUGAGAACCACUGGUACCUUAAAGAGAAUCACAGCAUCAUCACAGUUGGAAAAGACCUCAAAGAUCACC